AAAGGAAUAGACGGGGGCCCGCACAAGCGGAGGAGCAUGUGGCUUAAUUCGAUGCAACGCGAAGAACCUUACCAGGGCUUGACAUGCAACUGCACGUCCCGUGAAAGCGGGAUUCCUUCGAGGGUGUUGCACAGGUGCUGCAUGGCUGUCGUCAGUUCGUGCCGUGAGGUGUUGGGUUAAGUCCCGCAACGAACGCAACCCCUGUGUUUAGUUGCCACCGUCGGCGAAAGCCGGCGCGCACUCUAGACAGACUGCCCAUUUCAAGUGGGAGGAAGGUGGGGAUGACGUCAAGUCCGUAUGGCCUUUAUGCCCUGGGCUGCACACGUGCUACAAUGGCCGGUACAGAGGGACGCAAGACCGCGAGGUGGAGCUAAUCCUUGAAAACCGGUCUCAGUUCGGAUUGAAGUCUGCAAUUCGACUUCAUGAAGUUGGAUUCGCUAGUAAUGGCGCAUCAGCUACGGCGCCGUGAAUACGUUCCCGGGCCUUGUACACACCGCCCGU
rnacentral:rRNA from 1 species